rnacentral:lncRNA from 1 species
GCGGGAGGCUGUCGCUCGGGUCCGGCUGCGGGCCACAGGCCGCGGAUCGCGCUCUGCCAGCGCCCCACGCCCGCAAGCGCGGCCCCUCCGCCACCUCGCGGCCCGGCCUGACCUGUUAAUCACGUCCCCACGGCUCUCCUAGCGGGGACACCGCCGUCUGCAGGCUCCGUCCCCACAGUGCCCAGACCCCGGGAAGUUUGUCAGUCAGCACCCUGAUGCCAGCCGAUUCUCAAAAAGCCAGGAGGAUCCAAGCAGAUGAUUUGCCAGACGGUACUGCAGCAAUGGAGAUGAACAGAUAAUUCACACAGAAAGAAGGACGAGGGAUUGGAUCAAGCUGGGGCGAGAUAGAGUGGGGAAGUGAUGAGCUAAGAAAAAUUAGCCUGCAAGCAUGACGUGUCGCACGUCAGCAAGGCUGCAGCCUUGGAUUCUGAUGUCUUGAGAAGAGCGAUUCACCUGUGAAUUCUCACAGCCCUGGCCUCAGAAAGACGGCCCGGGACCAGGCCCGAUGGCACCCCUCUUCCCAGCUCUCAGCCAGGGCGGAAGGCACAAGUGAUGGCCCUGGCCUCCGCAGUCACACUCCUCCUGAAAGCUGACUGGCUGAACCUCACCUCUUGGCUAGCUUGCCACCCAGCUCUUGAGAACAUGUUUGUCCAAGGCCUCUUGGCAGGUCUCGAUG